AGAGUAAAAGCACAGGCGUUGGCGUUUUGCCGCAGUGCCGCCCGGACGGGGAGUUGUCGGGCGGACGAAACAGUCACGGAGUUACGGACGCAUCCGUCGGGAAAGGACGGGUGCCAUCCGCCGCCGACUUGCGGUUUGUGCUUUGCAUCCCGCU
rnacentral:ncRNA from 1 species